GAUGAACGCUGGCGGCGUGCCUAAUACAUGCAAGUCGAGCGAAUGGAUUAAGAGCUUGCUCUUAUGAAGUUAGCGGCGGACGGGUGAGUAACACGUGGGUAACCUGCCCAUAAGACUGGGAUAACUCCGGGAAACCGGGGCUAAUACCGGAUAAUAUUUUGAACUGCAUGGUUCGAAAUUGAAAGGCGGCUUCGGCUGUCACUUAUGGAUGGACCCGCGUCGCAUUAGCUAGUUGGUGAGGUAACGGCUCACCAAGGCAACGAUGCGUAGCCGACCUGAGAGGGUGAUCGGCCACACUUGGACUGAGACACGGCCCAGACUCCUACGGGAGGCAGCAGUAGGGAAUCUUCCGCAAUGGACGAAAGUCUGACGGAGCAACGCCGCGUGAGUGAUGAAGGCUUUCGGGUCGUAAAACUCUGUUGUUAGGGAAGAACAAGUGCUAGUUGAAUAAGCUGGCACCUUGACGGUACCUAACCAGAAAGCCACGGCUAACUACGUGCCAGCAGCCGCAGUAA
rnacentral:rRNA from 1 species